rnacentral:lncRNA from 1 species
ACCCGCCAGCCCCGCGCUCUACCAGGCAGAGCGCGUGUGGCCGCCGAGCACAUGGACCCACUGGUCAAGCGGGCUCGGCAAGGCCAGGAUGAAGAGAAGCUACGAACUUAGCAUUCCCAGAGCCCCCCGAGUGGAUAUCCGCGUGGAAAGGAUGUUGGCAGCCCCGGUGACCUCGGAGUCACGGCUGGAUCCACCCUCUUUAUACCCUUUAAGCGUUCCAGAAGGAUUUUGAGAUCCUUUCCUAAAUCAAAGGUGGAAUAUUUGGGGAUUUGGAAAAUUGAGAAGCCAGUCUCUCAGAAGAACCAGUUGUGUUACUUUGCUGUGAGAUGCCUGCCCUAAGAGAGGAGCAGAAGGUCGGAACGGGUCCUCUAAUGUGAUAAUUAGAUGUGAAGCGUUGACUUAAGAGAUGCCAAGUAACUCAGCAGAUGUCACACAGACGAUAAAUAGCAAAGAUGGAAGUCUUCAUGCCGGAGGCAAUCCUAUAAGACAGCUGAGUUCUGCAGAGCUGGUAGGAGACAGACUUGCUCAGGUGAUAGAUCCAGCCAUGAUACUGACCCUAAGAGAAUGAGACGCUCUGCAGAAGACAGAAGAUUCCUGAAACUGGGAAAGGUGCCUAGAAAUCCUGAUAAGAGUGAAGAAGGGUACCUGGAGGCACAGCAGCCAUGUUGAACCUAUGAGGUGAUGAAAAACCAUGCAACUAGAAACCAGAAUGGAAGAAAAGAAGAAGCUGGAUCCUUGACUGAAUUGUCGAUGGGGGAUAGUCCAUCAUCCCAGGGCUAAGACCACCUCCAGAUUUCUUGUUUGGUGAAACAAGUCCUGAUUGUUUACAUUCCCUCGUGUUGAGCUGUCUCUUGCUUGUAGCUGAAAGCAUUUCUAAUAGAUAUUCAGAUUAUCAGCCUUAGCUCCAAGCUAGAAUACUCUAUGGGACCUUAGCUUCUCCAUGAAUUCCUUUGCUCAUCUGUGUAAUGCUCAAUAAAUGUAAAUUGAACCCUGAAUGAGGGACAAUGACACUA